GGAAAAUUUAGGCCAUUUUAUUGAGAUCGGGCUAAUCAAACUUUACCCACACGAUACAUAAGCAAUCCCCCACAAACAAAUAACUUCCAAUUUUGAUUAACAUAAAGCAACACCCACAAAAUUUAACACAAGGCAAAAAUCAAACUUCAAAAAUAAUUGGCAUGCAAGCAUGCACUUUAGUCAAGACCCACUAUGAUUAAUCACGAACAAUGCAACAACAAACAAUUCCACUAAGACUAGUGAACAAGAAGUGACAAAAUUAACCCAAAAACUAACCUUUAUAUAUCA
rnacentral:lncRNA from 1 species